GAGGUAAACCUAGGCAGCUUUAGUGGCAGUAACCCGAUGUGGCUGCGAUACUGUUUGCACAUGGCCGAGUAUCACAGUCUUAUCCGGUCACCGCCUCUUCGGCUCUCCUACUCACAUUCCC
rnacentral:precursor_RNA from 9 species